rnacentral:misc_RNA from 1 species
AACCAUAGAAACCUGCGGAGUACCUGGGAGGGAUCAUUAUAGUAUAUGGAAUCUCCAUUCUAUAAACCCACUCUGCGUAUCUUGUAACUGUUGCUUCCAUGGGACUUGGUUCCGCCACACCGGCUUCACGGCUGGUGAGCGCCCAUGGAAGGAGAAACAAAACUCUUCUUUGAAAUGUAGUCAGUCUGAACAAGUUUUUAUAAACGUUAAAACUUUUAACAACGGAUCUCAGAUCGGAAG